rnacentral:rRNA from 1 species
AACGAACGCUGGCGGCGUGCCUAAUACAUGCAAGUCGAGCGAACAGACGAGGAGCUUGCUCCUCUGACGUUAGCGGCGGACGGGUGAGUAACACGUGGAUAACCUACCUAUAAGACUGGGAUAACUUCGGGAAACCGGAGCUAAUACCGGAUAACAUGUUGAACCGCAUGGUUCAACAGUGAAAGACGGUCUUGCUGUCACUUAUAGAUGGAUCCGCGCCGCAUUAGCUAGUUGGUAAGGUAACGGCUUACCAAGGCAACGAUGCGUAGCCGACCUGAGAGGGUGAUCGGCCACACUGGAACUGAGACACGGUCCAGACUCCUACGGGAGGCAGCAGUAGGGAAUCUUCCGCAAUGGGCGAAAGCCUGACGGAGCAACGCCGCGUGAGUGAAGAAGGUCUUCGGAUCGUAAAACUCUGUUAUUAGGGAAGAACAAAUGUGUAAGUAACUAUGCACGUCUUGACGGUACCUAAUCAGAAAGCCACGGCUAACUACGUG